rnacentral:rRNA from 1 species
UACGAAGGGGGCUAGCGUUGCUCGGAAUUACUGGGCGUAAAGCGUGCGUAGGCGGUUUCUUAAGUCCGUUGUGAAAGCCCUGGGCUCAACCUGGGAACUGCAGUGGAUACUGAGAGGCUAGAGUGUGUCAGAGGCAGGCGGAAUUCCGGGUGUAGCGGUGGAAUGCGUAGAGAUCCGGAAGAACACCGGUGGCGAAGGCGGCCUGCUGGGACGUGGCUGACGCUGAGGCGCGAAAGCUAGGGGAGCAAACAGG